GCAACACAUGGAGCAUGGAAAAUGGUCAGGAGCCUUUGCUGCCACAUGCUUUCCUAGCAGGAAGGCUCUGUGGAAAAAGCACAGCUCGUAAGAAGCUUUAAAACUCUUUGCCUGUGGACUUCCCAACUUCUCAUGGGCUUUACUUCCCAGUGACAGCAGGGUGGAAGAGCUGUGGGAAACAGAUCUCUUCCUGCAUCACCAAGUCGUGUUACACCUGAUGCUCCCAGUGCCUCCUGCGCAGCUUUUGGAUGAAUCAAUCUGGGCCAUGUGAAAUGGAACUAAAAUAUACCCAGGAUAUGUCUCCCAGGGGAUGGA